GACGGAGGAUGCAAGUGUUAUCCGGAAUCACUGGGCGUAAAGCGCACGUAGGCGGCCAACUAAGUCGGACGUGAAAUCCCCAGGCUCAACCUGGGAACUGCGUCCGAUACUGGCAUGGCUUGAAUCCGGGAGAGGGAUGUGGAAUUCCAGGUGUAGCGGUGAAAUGCGUAGAUAUCUGGAGGAACACCGGUGGCGAAGGCGGCAUCCUGGACCGGUAUUGACGCUGAGGCGCGAAAGCCAGGGGAGCAAACGGG
rnacentral:rRNA from 1 species